AUUGAACGCUGGCGGAAUGCUUUACACAUGCAAGUCGAACGGCAGCACGGACUUCGGUCUGGUGGCGAGUGGCGAACGGGUGAGUAAUAUAUCGGAACGUAUCCAAUAAUGGGGGAUAACUAAUCGAAAGGUUGGCUAAUACCGCAUACGUCCUACGGGAGAAAGCUAGGGACCUUCGGGCCUGGCGUUAAUGGAGCGGCCGAUAUCGGAUUAGCUAGUUGGUGAGGUAAAGGCUCACCAAGGCGACGAUCCGUAGCUGGUCUGAGAGGACGACCAGCCACACUGGAACUGAGACACGGUCCAGACUCCUACGGGAGGCAGCAGUGGGGAAUUUUGGACAAUGGGCGCAAGCCUGAUCCAGCCAUUCCGCGUGAGUGAAGAAGGCCUUCGGGUUGUAAAGCUCUUUCGCAAGGGAAGAAAACUUAGCCACUAACAUUGGCUGAGGUUGACGGUACCUUGAUAAGAAGCACCGGCUAACUACGUGCCAGCAGCCGCCGUAAGAC
rnacentral:rRNA from 1 species